ensembl:lncRNA
GUUGUAGAAGGCAACCGACUCAGUGCAUGAGAAGAAAUCAGCAGAAGAGAGAUGUUGGAGGUCUAUGGCAAAAGUGUGUAUCCGGGUUGAUCUUUUCCAGGUCCCUAUAGCAGAUUUGACGCUUGUCUUUGGUGUGUGGGGAAAGGAGUGGCAGCUCCAUUGAGAUGAUCUUGGCCAGAUCAUUCGCCAGAAGGUUGCUAAUAGGGGUGGAGUUGGAAAUGACCAGGUCCAGUGUGUGCCCCCUGGAGUGUGUGGGGACAUCGACGUGUUGUUGGAGGUUGAGGCAGUCCAGUAAAUUCAGCUGCAAAGUGGCAGGAGGGGUUGUCUACAUGCAUAUUAAUAUCUCCAAGUAUAAUAAUGUUGGCAGAGGUGGUGCAGAGUGUUGUGAGAAGGUCAUGUAUCUCUGAGAUGAAAGCUGAGUUGGGUUUGGGGGGCCGGUAGACGAGGAGCAUUGUCAUGGGGAAGGGGGUUUACAUUUGAAUGCUAGGCAUUCAAAUGAGGACAGUGUAGGCAGGGGGAGAGGAGACAGUUCCAAGAUCUGUCGGUGGAUGACAGCUAGGCCGCCACCACGACCAGUGCUGCGGGCUCUCUCCAGAUAGCUGUAACCGGGGGGGACAGACUUCAUUAAGUGCUGAGUAAAUCCCUGGCUGGUGCCAUGUUUCUGUCCGGCACAUGAAGUCUAAUCCCUUGUCCAUGAUGUGAUCUUGCAUGAAGGAUGCUUUAUUUGUGAGGAAUUGCGUGUUGAAAAGUUAUAUUUUGAGUGUUGAUGCUGUGGUGGAUCUCUGUAGAGGCCGUAGUACACUGUAAUCCACUACAUGUUUUCUGGCUUGCUUGGUGUAGCGAGAUCUCGCGGUGUUUCCCAAGCUGCUCAAUCGAGUGUGCAGAGAUCUCGCGAUGUUUCCCGUGUUGCUAGCACCGAGAGCGACACUGCUCUGAUGACGCGGCAGACGUGCGACAGUAGUCCAGAUGGAUGGAAUGUUUGAAGCAGGCUGGCCAGGCUGAUGGUAAACAAACUUUUGACGGGAACCUCUGUGGAUGUAACGUGGACGACGAUGAAUUCCAAGUUCUUUGAUGGCUGCAAUGCACUUUGGAAUGGAGCGGUUGUUGAAAGUUAGCAGCUGUGGGAUAGAGUACUUGAGCUUCAUGCCGGUGUUACACCCCUACUGGUUUUUCCACCUACUGGUUUCCCUACGCGUGCGUGUUUGUGUUCACUCCACAGCUGCAGAUACACACAGUAAUUUGUUGACCCUUAGUAUAAUUUAUUCAUUUCGUUGAC